AGCCGGCGCCAGGGUUUGUCCUCCCCGCCCUUCACCGCCCGUUCCGGCCAUGCCGGCGUUGCUCCCGCCCGUCCGCGUCUCCGGGCUCUCCCCACGGGCUCUGGGGUCGGGCGGGGCGCGGCCACGCCAGACGCCGCCCCGUCACACACCUCCACCCUUAGACUCCCCCCUAUACUUGCCACCCCUUCGCCCGCUCGGUCCGGUAUUCGGGACAAACUGUCAGCGUUCGCAUUAGCGGUACCAGGCCGAUGCUUUAUUUCAAACUGAUAUGGCUGAAGGCUCAGGUACCAGUGCAGUAUCCUGGGGUUCGUUUCCUUCAUUGUGCAGAUCCAUUGGAGUGGUGCAUGGUCCGUCACCAGCGUGAACUUGUCCCCUAGGAGAAAAUACCGAAGAGCAUCAAUGGCCCAUUUCACCGCUAGGGCUUCCUUUUCAAUAGUCGCAUGCCCUUUUUCUCUGGGGAAGAGUUUCCGACUCAAGUACAAGAAUAUGCUGUGUGGUUUGCCUGACUUGAUGGUGUGUCAGAGAAGGAUCCUGUGGAGGCAAAAGGAAGCUCCAGCAACUCAAAGGUUGUUCACCACUCAGUUUGCACAGUCCCUUUCCACUGGUAUUGGACAUAUUUCUGGAGGCAAGAAAGGGCCAUGCAAAGUGUAACAACACACCAAGCCUGAAGGCGGCCAAGAAGAAGUAGAGCCCUCCUGCAGAUCCGUAGUGACCUCCAGGGACCCUCGUCGCCUUAAUGGUUGAUCUCCGGGAAGCUGACACCUGGCCAGCUACUUGUGAAAUCAGAAGUAAUCUAUGCCACAACUGUAGCCUGCCUCCAAACUGCCAAUAUGAAUGUGAGGUGUGUGUAUGUAAGUAUUUCCAUACCCUUAAGAAUCUAUGCUAACAAACAAGCUUCAGUGCUGCUUGAUUUCACCCUUUGUUUGGUUAUUCCUUGGCUGAGUCUGAAGGCAACACAGACCACCAGACCAGGAGAAUGAGGUAGAUGAGGCUUUCUUCAGAAAUUAAAAGAAGUUUCCAGAUCACAGGCCCUGGUUCUCAUGGGUUCAGUCAGGAAGUUUUUGAAGAGUUUUGAGGACAAAUUCGUGGUGCAAGUGCUGAAGGAAUCAACUUG